UGGGGAAUAUUGCACAAUGGGCGCAAGCCUGAUGCAGCCAUGCCGCGUGUGUGAAGAAGGCCUUCGGGUUGUAAAGCACUUUCAGCGGGGAGGAAGGCGAUAAGGUUAAUAACCUUGUCGAUUGACGUUACCAGCAGAAGAAGCACCGGCUAACUCCGUGCCAGCAGCCGCGGUAAUACGGAGGGUGCAAGCGUUAAUCGGAAUUACUGGGCGUAAAGCGCACGCAGGCGGUUUGUUAAGUCAGAUGUGAAAUCCCCGGGCUCAACCUGGGAACUGCAUCUAAUACUGGCAAGCUUGAGUCUCGUAGAGGGGGGUAGAAUUCCAGGUGUAUCGGUGAAAUGCGUAGAGAUCUGGAGGAAUACCGGUGGCGAAGGCGGCCCCCUGGACGAAGACUGACGCUCAGGUGCGAAAGCGUGGGGAGCAAACAGG
rnacentral:rRNA from 1 species